GCUGGGCACGGUGGCGCACGCCUGAGAUCCCAGCACUCUGGAGGCUGAGGCGGGAGGAUCACAAGUUCAAAGCCAGCCUCGCAACUUAGUGAGACCCUGUCUCAA
rnacentral:sRNA from 1 species